AACGAACGCUGGCGGCAUGCCUAACACAUGCAAGUCGAACGAGACCUUCGGGUCUAGUGGCGCACGGGUGCGUAACGCGUGGGAACCUGCCCUUAGGUUCGGAAUAACUCCCCGAAAGGGGUGCUAAUACCGGAUAAUGUCUUCGGACCAAAGAUUUAUCGCCUUUGGAUGGGCCCGCGUUGGAUUAGCUAGUUGGUAGGGUAAAAGCCUACCAAGGCGACGAUCCAUAGCUGGUCUGAGAGGAUGAUCAGCGACACUGGGACUGAGACACGGCCCAGACUCUUACGGGAGGCGGCAGUGGGUAAUAUUGGACAAUGGGCGAAAGCCUGAUCCAGCAAUGCCGCGUGAGUGAUGAAGGCCUUAGGGUUGUAAAGCUCUUUUACCCGGGAUGAUAAUGACAGUACCGGGAGAAUAAGCUCCGGCUAACUCCGUG
rnacentral:rRNA from 1 species